rnacentral:lncRNA from 1 species
UUGGGUUUCGCAUCCUCAUCAUGUAGCGCCAGCCACACCAGGAACAGAAGGGUGCCGGGUACCUUCCGCAUGCUUGGUAUUCUCCCCGCGGGGCUCUGACCGCUGCCGCUCUCAGGCACCUGUCUUUCCUCUCCGUCCCAGAAUGGAGCCAAGACAAGGGAAUAAACGAAAUUCAAUAGUACACGGAGAUCGGGUGUCUGGGCAGCGUCUUGGAAAAACUAUCCACUACAGAUUUGCAUCCUUUUACACGUUUCCAAGAAAGUGAUGUAGUAGCUGCAUGAUCGUCUGGCUGCUGUAAUAAUGUUCCCUAUAAACAGUAAAGUUAUUUCAAGUUUA